CAUAGACUGAUGUCUCUGAAAGCAUGAACCAAAAUCAAUCUUCCUUUAAUUUGUUAUUAUCAAGUGUUUUGUCACAAUGAAAAAAACCCGACUAACACAAUGCUCUUAUGAAAAAAAAAAAGGUCUGUGAGAUCUUGUUUGCCCUUUUUCCUUUGUGAGGACACAGCUAGAGGACAAAAUCUUUAAAACACAGAGCAAGUUCUCCCCAGAUACCAAAUCUACCAGCAACUUAACCUUGACUUCCAACCCUCCAGAACUAUGCCUCUGGCUGUUAACCAUGACAACAAAAGCAACAUGAAACAGUGUAUGGCCAAAUCCUAGAAAAAAGUCAGGACUUCAUGACACAGUGUUCACAGCACUGGAGGGAAUUCAGACUCCAAGGCAAUAAAGACAAUACCACAGGGACCGUCAUCUGCCUCGCAAGCACAAAGGAAGCAACCCAGGCAUGAUGAAGAAAAGAAGAUAACCCCACUGUCAACUCACCAGCAAGGCCAGCAUUCAGCAGGAGUGGGAGAGGAAGGCAAAGGGGCACGCUAGGAAACAGUGAACUUUGGACCCAGAUAGACAAAAAUUUGAGCCAACUUCACCUCAUGCUUGAAGUGUCACUGGCCAUGUUGUGCAACACCCCCCUAGCUGCAUCCCUUCAGGGUAUAAGAAGAUAGCAGCUGUGCCUCCACUUACCUUAGAGGAAUAAAUGCCAAAUGACUGAAUCUGCAGCUGCUCCUGUCAGACGCUCAGCCCCGUGGACAAUAAACCUCUCCCAAGACCACCAGUCCUGUGCUCUCACGGUCACUUGCAAACUCAGCACGUUCUCCAC
rnacentral:lncRNA from 1 species